UACGUAGGGACCAAGCGUUGUUCGGAUUUACUGGGCGUAAAGGGCGCGUAGGCGGCGCGGUAAGUCACUUGUGAAAUCUCUGAGCUUAACUCAGAACGGUCAAGUGAUACUGCUGUGCUAGAGUGCGGAAGGGGCAAUCGGAAUUCUCGGUGUAGCGGUGAAAUGCGUAGAUAUCGAGAGGAACACCUGAGGUGAAGACGGGUUGCUGGGCCGACACUGACGCUGAUGCGCGAAAGCCAGGGGAGCAAACGGG
rnacentral:rRNA from 1 species